rnacentral:rRNA from 1 species
UAGUCCACGCCGUAAACGAUGUCAACUAGCCGUUGGGAGGGUUAAACCUCAAAGUGGCGCAGCUAACGCGAUAAGUUGACCGCCUGGGGAGUACGCGCGCAAGCGUAAAACUCAAAGGAAUUGACGGGGCCCGCACAAGCGGUGGAGCAUGUGGUUUAAUUCGAUGCAACGCGAAGAACCUUACCUGGCCUUGACAUCCUGAGAACUUUCUAGAGAUAGAUUGGUGCCUUCGGGAACUCAGUGACAGGUGCUGCAUGGCUGUCGUCAGCUCGUGUUGUGAAAUGUUGGGUUAAGUCCCGUAACGAGCGCAACCCCUAUCCUUAUUUGCCAGCACGUAAUGGUGGGAACUCUAGGGAGACUGCCGGUGACAAACCGGAGGAAGGUGGGGACGACGUCAAGUCAUCAUGGCCCUUACGACCAGGGGCUACACACGUGCUACAAUGGGGCGGUACAGAGGGGUUGCCAAGCCGCGAGGUGGAGCUAAUCCCUUAAAACCGUUCGUAGUCCGGGAUUGGGAGUCUGCAACUCGAC